UCGGGAAUUUUGGGCAAUGGGCGAAAGCCUGACCCAGCAACGCCGCGUGUGUGAAGAAGGUCUUCGGAUUGUAAAGCACUUUAAGUUGGGAGGAAGGGCAGUUACCUAAUACGUAUCUGUUUUGACGUUACCGACAGAAUAAGCACCGGCUAACUCUGUGCCAGCAGCCGCGGUAAUACAGAGGGUGCAAGCGUUAAUCGGAAUUACUGGGCGUAAAGCGCGCGUAGGUGGUUUGUUAAGUUGGAUGUGAAAUCCCCGGGCUCAACCUGGGAACUGCAUUCAAAACUGACAAGCUAGAGUAUGGUAGAGGGUGGUGGAAUUUCCUGUGUAGCGGUGAAAUGCGUAGAUAUAGGAAGGAACACCAGUGGCGAAGGCGACCACCUGGACUGAUACUGACACUGAGGUGCGAAAGCGUGGGGAGCAAAACAGGAUUAGAUACCCUAGUAGUCCCUGAGCGGGCUGGCAAGGCGCAU
rnacentral:rRNA from 1 species